AUGGAUGAUGCAAGGGAGGAGGAGGGGCGGGAGAAGAGGAUCACGUACUCGAGGGAGCUGCUGCUCGCCGUCGGCGGCUCGGAGGCCUGCAAGGCGCUGCCCGCCGGCCGCUUCCACCUGCUGCUGUCCAACGACCCGAGCACCGUGACACUCUGGGCGUCGGGAGCGGCGAGGGGUUGCGAUUGCUCGUCUCGCGCGGAGGCUCGGGGCGCCCGCCCGGCUGGAAGAGCAUGCGGAGCUGGCCACGGGGCUUUGCCUCGGCGAGCCCGAGAGCCGGAGUCAUUCCAGACGGGCGUAGGGAGUAAAUCCAAGCCAUGGCCAUGCACACGAUUCUUCAGUACUGCAGGCUGCCGCUUUGGUGAGGAUUGCCUCUUCACCCACGACUUCCCGGGCGGCUACCAGGCCGUGGCAAACCUGGGCAGCCUGGGCGGUGAAGCUCCUUCGCAAGACGAGAAGGAACUUUCCGAGCCUCUGUCCCAGGACAAGUCAGCGCCACCACACAUAGAGCGAGGGACCGCUGGUCGCCACGCACCUCCACUGGCGCCCAACCCCGGCACGGCAGCUCCGGCGGGUUUCGGCGCUCCGGCGACGGCCAGGAUCACCGUGGACGCGUCCCUCGCGGGCGCCGUCAUCGGGCGGGGCGGAGCGACCAUCAGGGAGAUAUCCCGGGCCAGCGGCGCCAGGCUGCGCAUCCGCGAUCACGAGCGGGACGCCGGCCUGAAGAACGUGGAGCUGGAGGGCACGCCCGACCAGAUCAGGCACGCCAGCGCCAUGGUCUGGGAGCAUCUCCCGGUGCCCGGCGGAGGGCGAUAUAACGGCCUCAAGACCAGGCUGUGCGCGCACUUCGCCAGAGGGUCCUGCACCUAUGGCGACGGCUGCCGCUUCGCCCACAGCGAGAGCGAGCUCCGCAGGCCGGCCCCUGCUGCUCGAGAGCCGUGUGGUUGGUAA
rnacentral:rRNA from 1 species